UACGUAGGUGGCGAGCGUUGUCCGGAUUUACUGGGCGUAAAGAGCGCGCAGGCGGUCGUACAAGUCGCGUGUGAAAGCCCCUGGCUCAACUGGGGAGGGUCACGCGAUACUGUUCGACUCGAAGGCAGGAGAGGGAAGUGGAAUUCCCGGUGUAGUGGUGAAAUGCGUAGAUAUCUGGAGGAACACCGGUGGCGAAGGCGGCAUCCUGGACCGAUACUGACGCUGAGGAGCGAAGCCAGGGGAGCAAACGG
rnacentral:rRNA from 1 species